UCAGGCCUCUGAUCCUCGGCUGUGGGGGGCGGGCCUCCCUGGCGCGAACCUCCCCUCGCUACCGUCUUGGGGUCGGCCGCCUCUCCCACGUUUGGCUCCCAAACCCUGACCAGCCUCUUCCGGCCCGGCGUCCCCUCUGCGUCCAGGGCCCGCGUCGUCCUUGCCGACGGUUACCCGCCCCCAGCGAAGCCCGCCUUCCCCUUGCGAAGCUUCACCCUCCGCCCGGGUCCUUCAGGUGCAAGGUUACGUAGGUGCAUUUCCUGUGUCUAAUAGGAGGGUCUUGUGCUUCUCGUAGCACCUGAGUGACUGACUCCUGCCUACCACCCCUGGGAAGACCAGGGUACCACAUCAUGGCGGCUUUGCACCUGUCUACCGCUCCUCCGCUUAUGGGACCAGGACUGAGUGCAAGGAGUCGACCUCAGGGGAGAUGCUUGAUGGGGCAAAAGUGGACUGGACCUGAGCCAGGACAAGCCUGCAAUCUUGUCGGGGAACCAGUAGAGAGCCAUGACAAGCCCAAGGAGCAGAGAGGUCCUAGGCCAGUGAAACUAACCAACAGGGAGAGCAACCAGGAGUCUUGGGGAAGCCUCAGGUUGGAGUCAAGCCUUGUCCAUGAUCACAGACCUCACAAAUGCAAUAUAUGUGAGCAAAGUUUUGAACAGAGAUCAUAUCUCAAUAACCAUAAGCAUGUACACAGGUAAAAAAAAACACACACAUAGUUCAUGAUUCUGAGGAAAUCUUCAGUGCAAAUUUAGUAGUUAAAGAAGAUCAGAAAGCCGAAACCGGUUUGGCUCAGUGGAUAGAGCGUCGGCCUGCGGACUCAAGGGUCCCGGGUUCGAUUCCGGUCAAGGGCAUGUACCUGGGUUGCGGGCACAU